UACGGAGGGUGCAAGCGUUAUCCGGAAUUAUUGGGCGUAAAGAGCGUGUAGGCGGCCAGAAAAGUCCGCUGUGAAAACUCGAGGCUCAACUUCGAGCUGUCGGUGGAAACUUUCUGGCUAGAGUCCGGAAGAGGAGAAUGGAAUUCCUGGUGUAGCGGUGAAAUGCGCAGAUAUCAGGAGGAACACCGGUGGCGAAGGCGGGUCUCUGGGCCGAUACUGACGCUGGAGGAGCGAAAGCGUGGGGAGCGAACAGG
rnacentral:rRNA from 1 species